UACGUAGGGUGCGAGCGUUGUCCGGAAUUAUUGGGCGUAAAGGGCUCGUAGGCGGUCCAUCGCGUCGGGAGUGAAAAGCUGGGGCUUAACCCCAGUCCUGCUUUCGAUACGGGUGGACUAGAGGUAGGCAGGGGAGAAUGGAAUUCCUGGUGUAGCGGUGAAAUGCGCAGAUAUCAGGAGGAACACCGGUGGCGAAGGCGGUUCUCUGGGCCUUACCUGACGCUCAUGCACG
rnacentral:rRNA from 1 species